rnacentral:rRNA from 1 species
AACGCGAAGAACCUUACCUGGGUUUGACAUACACCAGAAGCCGGCAGAGAUGUCGGUUCCCUUGUGGCUGGUGUACAGGUGGUGCAUGGCUGUCGUCAGCUCGUGUCGUGAGAUGUUGGGUUAAGUCCCGCAACGAGCGCAACCCUUGUCCUGUAUUGCCAGCACGUAAUGGUGGGGACUUGCAGGAGACUGCCGGGGUCAACUCGGAGGAAGGUGGGGAUGACGUCAAGUCAUCAUGCCCCUUAUGUCCAGGGCUUCACACAUGCUACAAUGGCGGGUACAGAGGGCUGCGAGACCGUGAGGUGGAGCGAAUCCCUUAAAGCGGGUCUCAGUUCGGAUUGGGGUCUGCAACUCGACCCCAUGAAGUCGGAGUCGCUAGUAAUCGCAAAUCACCAACCCUCCGGUAAAUACUUUCCCGGGUCUUGUACACACCG